UUUUGAGUUGAGGCAGUUUGUUUUCCUGGUUAUUCUCCAUUCCACUGAGUUUAAGUCGGAAUUAAAGACUUUGUAUUGGAUUACUCCUGCGUCGUGCACUUCUCUACAGCCACAAACCAUUACAGAAUACAGGACCCACAAAAGAUGAAUUGGGCUGAAGACUAGCUUUCAUCCAUCCGUCAAGACGGUCGUCCUCUGGAGCAGUAUGUGCAGGAAUAUGUGGAAUUCUCCCAUCUAUUGAGCAUUCCAACUCACCCCAAGCCUGCUACCAAGACCUCCACAUCCCUGAACAUCGGGAUCAUCUCAUUCGCUCCAGAGGCCACUCCCGUUCCAGAAUCCACCCAGUCUUCAGCCCAGGGAAAGAGUCGGCUCCAGUGCAUACACUGGAACUCAUGGAUAUGGUGCUUCCUCCAGAGUUUUCAGCCCCCAUCCGCUCUCCAGUGCUCAACAGGGAGCCCACUCACGGCGCAGAGCUCAACCGGGAGUCCAGCCCUCCUUCAUCUUUUUCGUCUCCGUUGGUCCCGUCCAGACCUCCUUUGUCUCCUGAGGCUCUGCUGGUCCCAGCCAGCUCCGCUCCUCCAGAGGGCCCUCCAGUGCCCAUAUAUCCGUGGCCAUAGUGGCUGAGCCUGGGACCUUGGACAAGGCCACGACAACUCAUCGGUCAUGGCCUCCUGAAUGCCCAGCACCUUCAUUGCCUCCUGAACUCCCAGAUCUGCCCUGGAGGCCUUCCUUGCCCUGUGCCUGCCCUGCACCAGCCUCCAGGGCGCCCUCCCUCCCCUGUGACCUAGUUUUUCCUCUGUUGCCUGAUUGUCAUUCUGUUCAGCUGUACCUUGUUAAUUAUCUUGUUUGUCUCUUAUUUAAGCCCUGUGUUUUCCUGAGUUCUUUUGUCCUGUAUUGUGUUAGAGUUGAUGUGUUUGUGGUAGUUCGUUCUCCUGGUUAUUCUCCAUUCCAUUGUGUUUAAAUUUGAAUUUAUUAAGGGAAAGCCCCUUGAGAUGCUUCAUCUCAUUUUCAAGGGGGACCCAAUAGCGCAUACAUUAAACAAUACAAAAUAAAACAAGUAAUGUACACAAAAAAAAAAAAAAAACACUUAGACAAAUAACAGCUCACUCCCCCAUUCACCCACCCACAGUCUACAACUAUAAACAAAAGCAUAUACAUACAAGAAAACAUAAAUUUUAAUACAAGCAUGAAAAACCAAAUAUACAAACACCCUGAAAAAAAAAUAUAUAUAUAUAUCAAAAAUAAUAGACAGAAGUUGAUAUAACCUAAAGGCAAUUCUCAACCCAAAAUUAAAAACAUAAGCAGGUUAUUUUCAAAUGAGAAUUAAUCCUGAAGAGAGGGAAAGAUGUAAUUGAUCUAAGGAAAGAAGGGAGAUUGUUCCAGUCAGAGGGAGCAUUAU